GGGGAAUAUUGCACAAUGGGCGCAAGCCUGAUGCAGCCAUGCCGCGUGUAUGAAGAAGGCCUUCGGGUUGUAAAGUACUUUCAGCGGGGAGGAAGGGGUUAAGGUUACUAACCUUAGCCAUUGACGUUAUCAGCAAGAGACGCACCGGCACACGCCGUUCCAGCAGCCGCGGUAAUACGGAGGGUGCAAGCGUUAAUCGGAAUUACUGGGCGUAAAGCGCACGCAGGCGGUCUGUCAAGUCGGAUGUGAAAUCCCCGGGCUCAACCUGGGAACUGCAUUCGAAACUGGCAGGCUUGAGUCUCGUAGAGGGGGGUAGAAUUCCAGGUGUAGCGGCGAAAUGCGUAGAGAUCUGGAGGAAUACCGGCGGCGAAGGCGGCCCCCUGGACGAAGACUGACGCUCAGGUGCGAAAGCGUGGGGAGCAAACA
rnacentral:rRNA from 1 species